UCAGAGAAAGUGAAUGUGCAAUGUUAGAAGAGAAAAUGAAGAACCUGAAAGAAUAAAACUGCCAAAUGUCAAACUUGCAAGGACCUACUGCAAUUCAGAACAAAAUCCAAAUUCAGAAGAGUGGUCAGCUAUGUAACAGAGUGAGGGGACAAAGUCUGAAGACAGUAAACAAGCUGCUGGAGUUUGUGGAUGCCUGCGGAAUGUGGAUUAUCACAUUCAUCCAAGGAGCUGCAGAUGCAUGCAAAUUUUGAUAAUGCAUGGAGACAGGCAGCAGCCUGCGGAGCCAAAUGGGAGUUUCACUGCUGGAGGAGUCUCUGACAUGCUGGUUCCUUGCACUGCCUCAUUGGGAAGGCUGUGAAGAAGACACAUGAACAAU